GACGGGUGAGUGUGCCUAGGAAUCUGCCUGGUAGUGGGGGAUAACGUUCGGAAACGGACGCUAAUACCGCAUACGUCCUACGGGAGAAAGCAGGGGACCUUCGGGCCUUGCGCUAUCAGAUGAGCCUAGGUCGGAUUAGCUAGUUGGUGGGGUAAUGGCUCACCAAGGCGACGAUCCGUAACUGGUCUGAGAGGAUGAUCAGUCACACUGGAACUGAAACACGGUCCAGACUCCUACGGGAGGCAGCAGUGGGGAAUAUUGGACAAUGGGCGAAAGCCUGAUCCAGCCAUGCCGCGUGUGUGAAAAAGGUCUUCGGAUUGUAAAGCACUUUAAGUUGGGAGGAAGGGUUGUAGAUUAAUACUCUGCGAUUUUGACGUUACCGACAGAAUAAGCACCGGCUAACUCUGUGCCAGCAGCCGCGGUAAUACAGAGGGUGCAAGCGUUAAUCGGAAUUACUGGGCGUAAAGCGCGCGUACGUGGUUUGUUAAGUGGACGUGAAAUCCCCGGGCUCAACCUGGGAACUGCAUUC
rnacentral:rRNA from 1 species